rnacentral:rRNA from 1 species
ACUUGAAUUGAAGAGUUUGAUCAUGGCUCAGAUUGAACGCUGGCGGCAGGCUUAACACAUGCAAAACAAACGGAAGCAGGAGAAAGCUUGCUUUCUUGCUGACGAGUGGGGGACGGGUGAGUAAUGUUUGGGAAUUUGGUUUAUGAAGGGGGAUAACAACCGGGAAACUGUCGCUAAUACCGCGUAUUAUCCCAAAAAGAAAAGGGGGGACUGAAAGGCCCC